UACGGGGGGGGCAAGCGUUGUUCGGAAUUACUGGGCGUAAAGCGCGUGUAGGCGGCUAUGUAAGUCGGGCGUGAAAUCCCACGGCUCAACCGUGGAAGUGCACCCGAAACUGCGUAGCUAGAGUCCUGGAGAGGAAGGUGGAAUGCUUGGUGUAGAGGUGAAAUUCGUAGAUAUCAAGCGGAACACCGGUGGCGAAGGCGGCCUUCUGGACAGUGACUGACGCUGAGGUGCGAAAGCGUGGGGAGCAAACAGG
rnacentral:rRNA from 1 species